GAUGAACGCUGGCGGCGUGCCUAAUACAUGCAAGUCGAGCGAACGGACGAGGAGCUUGCUUCUCUGAUGUUAGCGGCGGACGGGUGAGUAACACGUGGAUAACCUACCUAUAAGACUGGGAUAACUUCGGGAAACCGUAGCUAAUACCGGAUAAUAUUUUGAACCGCAUGGUUCAAAAGUGAAAGACGGUCUUGCUGUCACUUAUAGAUGGAUCCGCGCUGCAUUAGCUAGUUGGUAAGGUAACGGCUUACCAAGGCAACGAUGCAUAGCCGACCUGAGAGGGUGAUCGGCCACACUGGAACUGAGACACGGUCCAGACUCCUACGGGAGGCAGCAGUAGGGAAUCUUCCGCAAAGGGCGAAAGCCUGACGGAGCAACGCCGCGUGAGUGAUGAAGGUCUUCGGAUCGUAAAACUCUGUUAUUAGGGAAGAACAUAUGUGUAAGUAACUGUGCACAUCUUGACGGUACCUAAUCAGAAAGCCACGGCUAACUACGUG
rnacentral:rRNA from 1 species